rnacentral:misc_RNA from 1 species
GAGAGAGAGAAGUAAACAUAUAGUUAACUCUUGAGAAUGGUGCCAUAGAUAAUGUAGCAAGAGCAGAAUUAAGAGGAGACAAUGAGGGCAAAGCCUCUCACAGAAAAUCUACUCAAAUUUGCAUAAUUUUAUUACGAAAGCAUUAUUAUAGUUAUUUAAAGAUAGCCAUUUGAAAAAAAAUUAUUAAGAGCCAAAGACUUUUUCCUCCUUAUCCUGUUGGGCUUUCUAAAUGCCCCUAGUCCUAAGGAUUCUGAAAGUACUUCAUCCAUCAUUUUUGGUUCCCCACAGAAGUUUAUGCAGCUAUUGGCUACAACAGCAAUGACUAAGCCUUGAUCCCAAUAAUGCAUAAAUUCAGUUUUAACCAAAUAGUGCUCAAUCCUUAUUUUAAAGAAAUUUCUUCUUCCUCAAAAGAAAACUAUAGGGAUUAUCUAUUGCUUAACAACAUUUUUCUUUGUCUUGGAUUCAAACAUUUUCUCAGAGCUAGUGACACAAAUUUCUAGUAAUUAGAUGACAGCAACAUUAAAUAAUUCAUCAAAUACUUAAAUCUACCAUCUAAGGAUUUUGUAUUCCAGUGAAAAAUUAGCAACUGUCAGUAAAUUGGUAAAGACUUCAUAUAGUUCUCUAGCAUGGAAGGAAUCGCUAACACAAUUAUCAUGUUCAUGCAAAAUUUGAACUCAUACUCUCACUGAUUGUGUGCAUUAAAAUACAUAGAAUUUCAGAACAACUGCAAUACCUGGGCUAUGUGUUUGGCAGAGA